GACUACAGGGGUAUCUAAGCCUGUUUGCUACCCAUGCUUUCGAGCCUCAGCGUCAGUUGAUGCCCAGUAGGCCGCCUUCGCCACUGGUGUUCCUCCCGAUAUCUACGCAUUCCACCGCUACACCGGGAAUUCCGCCUACCUCUGCAUUACUCAAGAACCACAGUUUUGAAUGCUGAUACGGGUUGAGCCCGUAGAUUAAACACCCAACUUGCAGUUCCGCCUGCGCUCCCUUUACACCCAGUAAUUCCGGACAACGCUUGCCACCUACGUAUUACCGCGGCUGCUGGCACGUAGUUAGCCGUGGCUUCCUCCUCGAGUACCGUCAUUUGUUUCGUCCCCGAAGACAGAGGUUUACAAUCCGAAAACCUUCUUCCCUCACGCGGCGUCGCUGCAUCAGAGUUUCCUCCAUUGUGCAAUAUCCCCCACUGCAGCCUCCCGUAGG
rnacentral:rRNA from 1 species